UAGUCAAUUAUGAGAAUUUAUAUUAUCUUGAAGACAGAUAAUCAUGUAAAAACCAUGGUCAAUAGGAACAAGCUGGAAACCA